rnacentral:rRNA from 1 species
GGGAGCAAACAGGAUUAGAUACCGUGGUAGUCCACGCUGUAAACGAUGUCGAUUUGGAGUUUGUUGCCUAGAGUGAUGGGCUCCGAAGCUAACGCGAUAAAUCGACCGCUGGGGAGUACGGCCGCAAGGUUAAAACUCAAAUGAAUUGACGGGGGCCCGCACAAGCGGUGGAGCAUGUGGUUUAAUUCGAUGCAACGCGAAGAACCUUACCUGGUCUUGACAUCCAUAGAAUUCUGCAGAGAUGUGGGAGUGCCUUCGGGAACUAUGAGACAGGUGCUGCAUGGCUGCCGUCAGCUCGUGUUGUGAAAUGUUGGGUUAAGUCCCGCAACGAGCGCAACCCUUAUUCUUUGUUGCCAGCGAUUUGGUCGGGAACUCAAAGGAGACUGCCGUUGAUAAAGCGGAGGAAGGUGGGGACGACGUCAAGCCAUCAUGGCCCUUACGACCAGGGCUACACACGUGCUACAAUGGCGUAUACAAAGGGAAGCGAAGGUGCGAGCUGGAGCGGAUCUCAUAAAGUACGUCUAAGUUCGGAUUGGAGUCUGCAACUCGACUCCAUGAAGUCGGAAUCGCUAGUAAUCGUAGAUCAGAAUGCUACGGUGAAUACGUUCCCGGGCCUUGUACACACCGCCCGUCACACCAUGGGAGUGGGUUGCACCAGAAGUAGAUAGCUUAACCGCGAGGGGGGCGUUUACCACGGUGUGAUUCAUGACUGGGGUGAAGUCGUAACAAGGUAACCA